UUAUGAGGAGUUUUUUUCGUUGCUUUUAUCAGUAGAAGAGCGAGUAUCUGGCAAGUCCGAUGCAAAUAAUAACCUGAAGAAUGUCUUGAAAAGGAAGGACCUCGCCCUUGUUGGCGAGAUAACAGUGAAUUUGAGGCAUAUCUCCGACUUAUAGUUCAUGUCGUUCGAUACACUGUCACAGGAUGGAUGACAAUGAUACAGGACACGUGAUCCAACAGAAUGGUCUCUUCAGUGCUGAGCAGCAAUGCACUCUGUAGGCUUCUGCAAUAGGAGUGCCCUGGGUGGUCUCAUGGUUUCCAUAGUGAAAAUGACUACAAAGAUGGUGCUCGAUUCCUUGUGAAACUACAGUACAAAUUGAUAUAAGCAUUUCCUAUCCCUUUGUCCAACACUACAAAGUAUGUUCAUUUGAGUGACUGAUCAUUUCAGAAAGGUGUGAAGACUGUGUUGACUUGACAAUAGAACAUUAUGAAAUUGAAUUUCUUGUGCCAGGGAAGGUUUCAUGAAGUCAAUUGAAAUGCAUGUAGGGAAUUGUUGAAAACAUGAUUUACUAGCAAAGCAACUGAAUAAAAUAAAAAAAAUGUCUUUAAAAAAGUGAACAAUGGUUGUUUGAGUGGCCAGGACCAAAGCUUGCAUACACACAAUACUGUGUAAAGAGUGGAAAUGCAAAAUGCAGGUUUCCUUAUGUUACUAUGGAGGGAUUCACUUUAUUCAGAUACUAUUUUAUGUUUUGUCUGAUGCAACAUGGUGAAAUGUGUCAGAAUAGAAAUCAUGUAGAUUCCAGUAAUGAGGUUGACCCCGAUGGCAGGGGGUUCACUCUAAUGUGAAGUAUGCCACCAAUUGUGUUUGCUACAGAUAACGUUCAGUAGGCCUACAGUGAAUGAGUACAUGCAUGUGAUUGCACAUAUGGUAUACAUACAGUACAGAAUGGUCAAGCCCUGUUUACCGGAAGUGCCUGAAGAAGGGGGAGAUUAUUGUGCCCGUUCUUAUUAUACCUCGGUGAGUGUGCCACGUUGAUGGAGCCGAAGACCAAUUAGUGUAACCGCAGCAGCAUUUAGACUUCCGUUUUUUCCGAGUUUGCCUUCAAAAUAAAAGUGGCAACGUGUAUGAUGCGAAAUUAAUACUUUUUUCAGCUUUGCAUAAUGUUAAAUUAUAACUAUAUCGGGGAAAAAUCUAAACUAAAGAGAAUUACUAUAUAUAAGAUAAAUAGUAUAAGGUAUGAAAAAGGAAUGCACUCUGGAUAAGAGCGUCUGCUAAAUGACUAAAAUGUAAGGUGGAGCACAAUGAGACAUGGUUGGCGCUUAAGUAAAUUAAUCUAAAGAAAAUAUUAUACAGACCCUACUGAUCUAAAGCUAGUCGACUAUACUAAACAAAAAUAUAAACAUAUGUAAAGUGUUGGUCCCAUGUUUAUUGAGUUAAAAUAAAAGAUACCAGAAAUGUUCCAUAUUGCACAAAAAGCUUAAUGUUUUUGCACGAAUUUGCUUACAUCCCUGUUAGUGAGCAUUUCUCCUGUGCUAAAAUAAUCCAUUCACCUGACA